GAUCAACUAAGUACAGAAACAUGAGAAUAAGUAAGAACAAAGUUCGUCCUCUCUCUUUGACUCAUAAAAAAGUACCUUCAAUGGUGUUUCUCUAAAUUAGAUGUCAAGUGGUACAUAUAUAUAGAUGCUUAUCAAAGCUUAUUACAGAACUACAGCCACCCAGAAGCAUUAGUGAAGAGAAGCCGAGUACAAUUACAGCGUUUGCUAAAAGAAGACAAUCAUUAAAAAAUUAAAUGUUUCGGUCCUUUUAAUCACAAAAUAAAAGAAAUGAUAGCAUAUACAUCAAGUGUUUUGCAUUAAGCUUAAGGGGGUAGGAUCGUCUGCUAUCACAGUUUCUCAAUGCUAACAAUUAACAACCAACAUUCCAAACUUUGAAGCUCAAACCAAAUAAUAAUAAUAAUAA
rnacentral:misc_RNA from 1 species